GCUAAGCAAAAGUGAAAAAACAAUAAAGUUAAACAAAUAUUAAGCUAGAGGAGUGGAUCUAUUUUGAAGUACUGGGAAAAGAUGGGUAACGUUAUGCGAUGUUUUUUGAUUGGUCGAAUUGUUUUUCCUUUUUUAUCCUCUCAUAAAGUAAACAUUGUUUUUUUUUUAAUUUCUGAAGUAGGAGAUUAUCCACUGCUGAAAAUCUAUUCGACCAUCGUACCAACUGUCAAUUUCUAUUAUCAUUUUUGAACACUACUUACAAAAUCAAAAUCAGAUAAAACCGCUCUUGUUAUUGAUACAGCCGAAAAAUUGUCAAAAGUAAAAAAGAAAACAUAAAAAGCGGCAUCUACAAAAAAUUUUAACUAAAAACAACCAGAUCUUCUUACUAGAAUCACAUUAAUCACCAAACUCAACCGUCAAUCAAUUCAAAUCAGAAAACGAGACCAAAAUGAGAUCACAUCAAAUUGAAAACAGCACGCGCAGGCAAAACUCCGAAAACAACAACAAAAACAAGAAAGUAAACAUCGCCAGGACAGUCAAGGUCAGUCAAUUUGGAUAUUUGACCAUCUUCAGUUGCUUGUUUCUGAUGGCCACGUUGAUUUCUACCUACCCAAGCCAAGCAUCAGCGGCACACCGACUCUUCAUUUUAACCCCCAGUCAAUCAGAAAAAGGGGGUCCCGAUAUGAUAGAAGGGGGUUAUACGGAAGGGAUGGGUGGAAGUCUGAAACGAGAGCUCGCCGAUCAGAUGUCCGGGGGUCCACUACGACACCGGAUGCUGCAAUCCAGUCAAUUUUUCCCCCACGAAGAGACGAAAGAGGCAAAUGAGAAGCGAGGGUGGAGGACAAUUCUGGACGACAGAUAUUACAAACGAAAGUGAUGGGUGCAAUACCGGUCGAUCACAAUCGAGAAAAAUCUGCAGACCAACGAAUGACAAUAGGAAUUCCAUUUAACCAAUCAGAAACGAGAGUUUCACUGACCAAUCAUCGUCGUUCUUAAUGAUUAUGUGCCAGUAGUGUAGAAGGUGCAAUUCAUAAAACCAGAAGUACUAUUUUGUGUUCCUCGUACAAUAUCCUGAAUUCAAAAUCAUUCUUGA